CUGAUGGACGUCGACCGGCGCACGGGUGAGUAACGCGUAUCCAACCUGCCCCACACUAAGGGACAACCCGCAGAAAUGUGGGCUAAUACCUUAUAUUUUCCACCAAGGGCAUCGUCGAUGGAACAAAGAUUUAUCGGUAUGGGAUGGGGAUGCGUCCGAUUAGGUUGUUGGCGGGGUAACGGCCCACCAAGCCAUCGAUCGGUAGGGGUUCUGAGAGGAAGGUCCCCCACAUAGGAACUGAGACACGGUCCUAACUCCUACGGGAGGCAGCAGUGAGGAAUAUUGGUCAAUGGGCGGGAGCCUGAACCAGCCAAGUAGCGUGCAGGAAGACGGCCCUAUGGGUUGUAAACUGCUUUUAUGCGGGGAUAAAGGAGUCCACGUGUGGGCUUUUGCAGGUACCGCAUGAAUAAGGACCGGCUAAUUCCGUGCCAGCAGCCGCGGUAAUACGGAAGGUCCGGGCGUUAUCCGGAUUUAUUGGGUUUAAAGGGAGCGUAGGCCGCGUUUUAAGCGUGUUGUGAAAUGUAGGCGCCCAACGUCUGCAUCGCAGCGCGAACUGGAACGCUUGAGUACGCGCAACGUUGGCGGAAUUCGUCGUGUAGCGGUGAAAUGCUUAGAUAUGACGAAGAACUCCGAUUGCGAAGGCAGCUGACGGGAGCGGCACUGACGCUUAAGCUCGAAGGUGCGGGUAUCAAAC
rnacentral:rRNA from 1 species